rnacentral:tRNA from 1 species
AUGUUUGGUUAGCUUACGUGGUGAAAGCACACGACUGAAAAUCGUGGGAUAGUGGUUCGAAUCCACUACCAGACAUU